GUUUGAGGAUUUACUGCACUAUCUGAGAAUGGCUGUAAGGGCAGAGUCUUUGGACAAUAAUUUGCUCGAAGCAUACAGUAGAUUGAUGGAAAACUGUUUUCUGUGGACUUGGAACACCAACAAAUGCAUUUAACUUGUGCUAGAAUGGCUGGAGCAAAGCAUCCAGGAUUUGCUGGCAAUGGAUGGUUUGACUCUCUUCACUGCCAACAACUGAUAUGAAAGGAAGGACAUUCAGGAGAUAUCAAGAUGCAGUGCUUCCUGAACACAAGGCAUGGUUCUGAUUUCCAAAUGCCAAACCACAUAUUUGUCCCCACAAAGCCCAGCAACAGGCACAUUUUUUCCACUUCAGCUGCAAAGCUGCACUGGAGGGGUACUCAGCAAUGGGAGGGCGUAAAUGCCCUGUCACUGCUCUGCUACUUGCUAUUGCACCCAUGAUAUACCUGAAACCUGCAAUCAAGGAAUUUCUUUCCAUCGAGCGUCAAAGGACAAUUCCCGGAUAGCCACAUGUUGGAGAAUUGUCAGCGGAAGGACUUUAGUAGGCGAUGUCUCUUGGACCCUGCCUCCAAAUAGGUUUCCCUUUGCUCUAAGCACUUUGAGAAGAACUGCUUUAACUGGUGGGCACAAGCAAUUAUCAUCAUCUGAAGGAAGGAACUGUCCCUAUGAUAACUCAGCUUCAUAUAAAGGUUGCUGGAAAUCAAAGUUGAGCAGUUCCAAACUUGUGAAAAGUCAGCAGAAGCAUAACAGGUCAGUUGAAAGGCUGAAAGAAACAAACCUUACUGUGGGCUAAAUGCUUGCCCCUUAGCGUCUUCCACCCAUUACAUUACUACCACUUUCUAAACCAAUCUCAUGCCACAGAUAUUCAUAUAAUCAAGAAAUACCUACUGCUUUUACUUUCUCCAGUCAGUUGCAAUGGUAGAUCCAUUGAUUAUAUUAUGAAUUAACUUCAUCAGGUUUACAGAAUAAACAUCUUCAUACAGUUCAUUUUAAUCUGUAUGCCACCAGAGUUGCUGCUGUGAGGUGGGCAGUUAUAUAAUCCUAAAAAUGAUAAAAUAAAAUGAUAAAAUAAA